AACACUGUUAACCUGCGGUACCUGCGGAGGGAUCAUUAUAGUAUAUGGAAUCUCCAUUCUAUAAACCCACUCUGCGUAUCUUGUAACUGUUGCCUCCAUGGGACUUGGUUCCGCCACACCGGCUUCACGGCUGGUGAGCGCCCAUGGAAGGAGAAACAAAACUCUUCUUUGAAAUGUAGUCAGUCUGAACAAGUUUUUAUAAACGUUAAAACUUUCAACAACGGAUCUCAGAUCGGAAGA
rnacentral:misc_RNA from 1 species